GGCCUCGCCGCCGCCGCCGCCGCCGAGGCAUGGGGCCAGCCCUCGGGGCGCCUGUGCCCGCCCACCGCUCGCGGACACCCGGGGCGGGGUGUGGGGCCGAAAGGCGCUCUGGAUAUCCGCGGCGCGCCGCUCGCCAGCCAGCCCCGAGGUCGGCAGGUCACUCCUUCGGGGCCGGUGCUCCGGGUCUCGGCGAAGUCAGGCGGGCGAGCUGCAGGCCAGCGCGUUGAAUCCUGCUCCCGAAACGCCUCCAUCCCAGGUCGGCUCGCUCCAGCUCUCCCGCUGCGCCCCCGCCGCUCGCCCGCAGGGCGCUGCCGGAGCGGGAAAGGCGCGCAGCCGGGGCGUCCGGGAUCAGGCCCCGCUGCCCCGCGUCGGCCCCCGCGCCCCGCGCCGCCCCCACACCCCGUCUCCGCAACUUGCGGCGAACGCCCCGGCCUCGGGAGACCCCAGCGGCUGGCAGCAAACUUUGUGCCCUCCGGCGCGGAGCGAUCCUGGCAAAGUUUGUGCGGCCGAGCCCACUCCCUACCUGCGCUGGGGACGCGCCCGCCCGCGCCGCUGGGGCGCCGGGGCCGCGGGGAGCAGCGCGCAGCCCGGGACGCACCGGGGAGUCGCCGCAGUCGCCGCCGCCCGCGCCCCUCGGGGGCCGCGCCGAGCCUCCGCCUCCCCGGGAGGGGGGAGGGGUCUCGGAGCCCCGGGGCGGGGGCGGGCGCGGGGACCUCGCCUACCUGCGGUGGCGCCCGGCCACUACCGGCCGCCCGCGAGGGCUCUGCGCGGCCGCUCGGCGCGCGCGCUCCGGCGGGGAGCCGGCGACAACUAAUGGAGACAUUUCCAGGCGGAGCACCUGGCGAGCGGAGCGCGCCGGCGUCCCCAGGCGCCGCGGUCGUCAGCCGAGCCCGCACCGGCGUGACGUGGGCGAGCGAGCGCUCUGCUCCCACCCGGCCGCCCAUUAACGCUUUCCCCCGCGGGCGCCGCGCGCUUGCCAACUUUCCCUCCGCCUGGCCCGCGCGCGGGCCUCGAUUUGGAGAUAGACUGGUUCUGCAUUCACCAGGGCCUUUUAACAACAGCAGCGGCAGCGCACGGGUGAGAAGCAUCAAGGCCCAAGAGGAGCGGAGGGCGACUGGCUGCCCAAGAGGCGCUGCGUCCUCCGGGGGCCCAGAGCCCGGACGGCAGCAUGCGUGCCCUGGAGACAGCACUACCCUGGAAGAGCCGAGGGGUGCCUGGGUUCAGGACAGCAAUGUGACCCUGGCCGUCGAUCAGAGGUACAAGUGGUUGCAGCUCAGAGUGAUCUCGUGUGGACUGACGGCCGUGCCUCCUGUGUCACGUUUUCCUCUCCUGCUCACCCCACCCCUCAUGAGCUUGGAAGGAGGCCAGGGGUGCAGGAGUUGGGAAGGGUUUUUUUCUCCUUGUGUCAGAAAUGCCAUGUCCUGUUUGUAAUGCUGAAACAUACCCGCACACUGCAGGGAGGUUUCUUCUCUUAAAAGUGAGAGGCUGUUCAUUC
rnacentral:lncRNA from 12 species